AACGUAGGACACAAGCGUUAUCCGGAGUUACUGGGCGUAAAGGGCGUGUAGGCGGAUCGGUAAGUCUACUCUGAAAGCUCCUGGCUAAACUGGGAGAGGCGAGUGGAGACUGUCGGUCUAGAGUGAGGAAGAGGAAAGUGGAAUUCCACGUGUAGCGGUAGAAAUGCGUAGAGAGUGUGGAGGAACACCAGUGGCGAAGGCGACUUUCUGGCCUAUAACUGA
rnacentral:rRNA from 1 species